rnacentral:tRNA from 1 species
GCUGUCAUAGUGUAAGUAGUUAGCAUGACCAGCUAGCAACUUGAAGGUCAGUGGUUCGAAUCCCAGCGACAGCA